CCUACGGGAGGCAGCAGUGGGGAAUAUUGCACAAUGGGCGCAAGCCUGAUGCAGCGACGCCGCGUGAGGGAUGACGGCCUUCGGGUUGUAAACCUCUUUCAGUAGGGAAGAAGCGAAAGUGACGGUACCUGCAGAAGAAGCGCCGGCUAACUACGUGCCAGCAGCCGCGGUAAUACGUAGGGCGCAAGCGUUAUCCGGAAUUAUUGGGCGUAAAGAGCUCGUAGGCGGUUUGUCGCGUCUGCCGUGAAAGUCCGGGGCUCAACUCCGGAUCUGCGGUGGGUACGGGCAGACUAGAGUGAUGUAGGGGAGACUGGAAUUCCUGGUGUAGCGGUGAAAUGCGCAGAUAUCAGGAGGAACACCGAUGGCGAAGGCAGGUCUCUGGGCAUUAACUGACGCUGAGGAGCGAAAGCAUGGGGAGCGAACAGGAUUAGAUACCCUGGUAGUCCAUGCCGUAAACGUUGGGCACUAGGUGUGGGGGACAUUCCACGUUUUCCGCGCCGUAGCUAACGCAUUAAGUGCCCCGCCUGGGGNGGUACGGCGCGAGACGUAACUACAAGAAGUAGACGCGNGAGACGUGCCGACGACGACGACGAGGGAGGAGG
rnacentral:rRNA from 1 species